rnacentral:ncRNA from 1 species
UUAAAUAUUUUAUGCACAGGUGCCGAUUAGUUUUGGCUAAAAAGGGAAGCAGGUGUAAAUCCUGCACGGUCCCGCCGCUGUAAUGGGAAGAUACUGUAAAUUUGCCACUGAGUUUUUUGGGAAGGCUACAGUAUCCAUGAACCUAAGUCAGAAGACCUGCCUGUGCUAAACACCUUAC